GGUUUCUAGAGAUUCAUUGGAAUUUUAUCAUUAUCCACUUGGUUAAGUUCUGUUUUCAGCCCUCCUCCUCUCUGGACGUCUAAGUGGUAGGACUGAAAGUUCCAACCUUCUAGGAAUUCCCUUUGUGGCUCAGCAGAAAUAAAUCUGACUAGCAUGCAUGAGGACACAGGUUUGCUCCUGGGCCUCGCUCAGUGGGUUAAGGAUCCGGUGUUAAUGUGAGCUGUGGUGUAGGUUGCAGACGCGGCUCAGAUCUGGCACUUCUGUGGCUGUGGCUAUGCUGGCGGCUACUGCUCUGAUUCGACCCCUAGCCUGGGAACCUUCAUAUGCUGUGAGUAUGGCCUUAAAAUUUUUGAAAAAAGGAAAAAGAAAAAAGGAAAGUUCCAAUCUUCUAUUAAUAUGCUUGGUCUCAUGGCACAGCCAUCCACUCUGAAAACUAAGAGCCUAUCUUAGGUAACCUCAUUAGCAUAAACUCAGGUGUGCUCAAAAGGGAUUUCUUGUGAAUAACAAAAGAACACUCCAUCACUUAGGCUUUUUGGAGAUGUGUGUGACAAAUGGGAACAAGACCAAAUUCAGUAUAUUAUACAUUUUAAUAUUUUAUCUCCAGUUUAGUAAAGUUUUUGUUAUGAGGAGCGCAAAUGAUAGAUCCAGUGGGAGGAUCAUAAUGUGCAAGGCUGCAAGGAAUAGUGAGCAGUAAGGAAGCUAAGACUUUUACUGGAAACCCACUAAAGGAGCUGGUGAGUGGCUGUAACUUUCUGGGCUGGUAACUAGACGGCCACUGGGAAAUGGAGGCAUCUGGAGAAACCCUGUUUUAUUUUAUUUGCCAUGUUUAUUCUCAUUUCUGCUCUAUCAUUACCUUACCUCUGAUUGUUUUGCUCUCUCCUUUGACUUUCUGUGUCCUACUUUACACUAGAGUUUAGGUUUAUUCAUAGUUUCUGCUUUCUCAUGAAUCCUUAAGAGAUCCAGUUCUAGUUCCCACUUGGUUAUAAAUAUUUAAAGCUCAGAUGCUUAUGAAUUGUCAGCCUGUCAUCCUGACUGGCUCUUUCCUAGGCUAGUCAGCUGGGGUUGGGAAUCAAGAGUAGCAGGCUCAGAAGACAGUGAAGUUUCCCUUAGGAGCCAAGGGAAGACGGGUUUAUUACAAUGGGAAAGCAUGUCUAAAACAACAUUAAAAUGUUUCCCUUUUCCUAGUACAAAGGCAAAAUUCUUAAUACAAAAAGAUACAUAAAAUUUAAUCAAGUUUACCAUUAAAAAUGUUGACUUUGGAUUUACUUUUAGAAAGGAAUUCUAAAUCUCGAAACUAAAUCUAUUUGUUUAUAUAUUUUUUCUUAUUCUGCCAAAAUCUUUCAAUCCUUAAUCUUUUUUUAAAUGAAAAUGAUUUAUUUUCUCUCUCCCAACUGUUGGUUAUUCCAUUUGUUAAUUAAUCCAUCCUUUGCUCACUGAUUUGUAAAUAUACCUUUAUCUUUCUUUGUCCUGAAACAUAGAUGCUAUAAAAUAAGAUUUAUAAGUGCAGCUACAUAAGUGAAGUACUUCAUGGCAAAAGCAUUGUAAAUAAAGUCAAAAGAAAAUGAGAGACUUGGAAAGUAUUUGCAACAUGUAUUACUUAGUGUUAGUCACCAUUAAUAUAUAAAAAUCUUCUAAAUAAAGAAAAUCAAAAGGACACAAUUUAAAAUGAGCAAUGGGCAUGAACAGAGAGAGCUCACAGAAAAACAAAUGAUACUUAUGAACGAAUGCUCAAGCUCAUUUAUAAGUUGUUUUAUUUGAGAACUUUGUUGGAAGGACUAUGAUCAUACUGGCAUUUAUAGAAUAUUUGUUACAGUACAAAAUAAUACUUAUGGAGGGCACUUUGGAGGUAUUUAUCAAAAUUAGAAUUGCCUUUAUUCUUCGAUCUAGUGAUCCUAUAUAUCUGCACAUGUGAAACAAAUGGCAUAUGUAACAUUGUAGACUGUUUUAUAAUAGUCAAACUUUGAAAAUAACCCAGGAGCUGUCAGUGUGAAACUGGAUAAACUGGUACAUUCACACAAUGGAAUACUAGGUUGCAGUAAAAACACAUGAGGAGCAGUCUCUGCAGUGACAUAUUAAGUGAAAAAGUGAAAUGUACAUGUUCACUUAUGUUAAAUAACAUUGAGAUUAUAUAAAAGUUGUUACCUGUAGAUGCUGGGUGUCCAGGGAUAAGAGCAAGAAUGUUCUAUAUAUCAUUUUUUUUUAAUUUAGAGAGGGGGAGGGUAGCAGAAUUGGUAGGUUUGGAAGUUCGUGUGACAGCAUACACUUUUAACUUUUACUGUAUGUAAUGUUUUGCAUAUUGUGUAUAUUUCUUAGGUAUACUAUGUUCACUAAACUGUUGGUUUCUUUUACUCACUGCUCCUUAAAUUAUGUAAUAACAGGUUUUCUUUUUUAAAAAACUGUAGCUAUAUUCAGUCAUUCCAUUUGAUUAGCUUUUUAUUCAGCUUGUUAAAAAAUAUAUAUUAAAUGCCUCCUGUACCAUGGAUACUGUACAUUUAGUUACACAUGCGGUAGUUUCUAGGUUUUCCCCAAGAGAUCAGUAAGCUAGGGGAAGUAUAAUAGUUAAGUGCAAGGUACAUAAGAAGUUUACCUAACAGUAUAGGGGAUAAUGAAGCCAAGAUAGGAGGGGAGAGGAGGACUUUACAACAUUGAACCUCAGGGGAAUUUCAUCAUCAAAGUUGUGCUCUAAGGCAGAACCCAUCUUUGAGGCCAAGUAACUGAUCUAACAUUGGUAGAUCUUGUUCUCUAAAAGACUUUUGGUAUUGUCGCAAUGGACUUAUCACCGUAUAUAUAUCUCCACCAACAGGAUUAAAUUCUAAUUAUUAAAAGGUCCUAAGGGACCUCCUUUUGUCUGUUAGGUGUUCUUGCUAAAAUUAUUGUAAUUCUGGGUCAGAAAUCAUGUCAGUCAUAAAUGCAGUCUUUUUCAUGAUGUCUCUAGAUAAAGUUUUGUCCAUUAUUUUUUCAUGUUAAAUUGUUGAUCAUCAUCCAUUACUUUUCUCUGCAAUUCAUGAUACCUUGGCAGCCUGUUAUAAUUUCCAGUUUAUUUGCACUUUGUAGAAGCUUAAAAAUAUGUUGAAGGUAAUGUUAAGUGUCUAACUUAAGUUCUGCUUGCAAGGGGGUUCCUUUGAUCCACAAUGUUCCCUCUGAUGUUAGACCAAAUAUAGUGAACCCAAGUCCAAGGGGUCAGUAUAUCUUUUAGUAAUUUUAGUGACUCAUCUAUAAUUGGUAGUUUGAUACUUUUGGCACAAUUAUUUUCUAGUUAAGAGAUUAUAUGGUAUAUCUAUCAAUACCUGGGAUUGAACAAUUGGCAUAUCAUAUACAAGCAUUGUACCCUAGGUCUGAAAUUAUAAUGUAGGAUAUAGACAUACUGCUUUUAACAGGUUGUGUGAACCUCUUUAAAAUCAAUGAAUUUCUGACAGAGUCAUGGAGCUCAAAGGUAUAUUGUAGAAUUUGUAGGAGUCUGCUAAGAAUUAACCCAUGGGAAUCAGGUUAGUUUGGAAUAAUGUAAGGUGGCCUGCUAUCUUCAUUGGUGUAUUUUCCUAUAACCCCUGAUUGAUGGGCAGCCUAAUGGCAAUUUGGUUGUUGCUGAUAAUAUAAGCUCUUUGCUGAUAACAUAUAAGGAUUUUUUUGUCUUUGUAGACCAAGGCUUUUUGUUCUUUUAGGAUGCUGUAAUUCUCUUAAAACUGCCUGACACUUAGUAAGUAUUCAUUAAAUGUGGAAUAAAUAUUGGUAUGGAUAUAAUACCAAUAUAUACACAGUACUAUAUGUGUCAUCCCCUCAGUGCAGUGUUUUACACAUUAUGUUUUUAUGUAUUUUGUAGUUAUUUUGGGGUACUUAUCCUAGUAAUUCUUGGGUUAAGGAUCUGGGGUUGCCGUGAGCUGUGGUGUAGGUCGCAGACGUGGCUUGGAUC
rnacentral:lncRNA from 1 species